AUUAAGAUGGCUGAUAUAGGCGGUAAACUGUAAAUUUACUAAUGAAUAAAUUAUUCUCUUAAUA
rnacentral:tRNA from 1 species